rnacentral:rRNA from 1 species
UACAGAGGUCCCAAGCGUUGUUCGGAUUCACUGGGCGUAAAGGGUGCGUAGGCGGUCGGGUAAGUCUGAUGUGAAAUCUCACAGCUUAACUGUGAAACUGCAUUGGAUACUAUCCGGCUAGAGGAAUGGAGGGGAGAUUGGAAUUUACGGUGUAGCAGUGAAAUGCGUAGAUAUCGUAAGGAAGACCAGUGGCGAAGGCGAAUCUCUGGACAGUUACUGACACUGAGGCACGAAGGCCAGGGGAGCAAACGGG